rnacentral:rRNA from 1 species
UACGCAGGGUGCGAGCGUUAAUCGGAAUUACUGGGCGUAAAGCGUGCGCAGGCGGUUUUGUAAGUCUGACGUGAAAUCCCCGGGCUCAACCUGGGAAUUGCGUUGGAGACUGCAAGGCUGGAGUCUGGCAGAGGGGGGUAGAAUUCCACGUGUAGCAGUGAAAUGCGUAGAUAUGCGGAGGAACACCGAUGGCGAAGGCAAUCCCCUGGACCUGUACUGACGCUCAUGCACGAAAGCGUGGGGAGCAAACAGG